GACGAACGCUGGCGGCGUGCCUAAUACAUGCAAGUAGAACGCACAGUUUAUACCGUCGCUUGCUACACCAUAGACUGUGAGUUGCGAACGGGUGAGUAACGCGUAGGUAACCUGCCUGGUAGCGGGGGAUAACUAUUGGAAACGAUAGCUAAUACCGCAUAAUAUUGAUUAUUGCAUGAUAAUUGAUUGAAAGAUGCUAUUGCAUCACUACCAGAUGGACCUGCGUUGUAUUAGCUAGUAGGUAAGGUAACGGCUCACCAAGGCAACGAUACAUAGCCGACCGGGGAGGUGAACCGGCCCCACGGGACCUGGGACACGGCCCAGAUCCCUACGGGAGCCAGAAGAGGGGAAUCUUGGGCAAUGAGGGAAAGCCUGACGGAGCAACGCCGCGGGGUGGAGGAAGUUCUCCGGAUCUAAAAACUCGGUUAAUGGGGAGGAAGAGAGGUGUAGGUAAAUGUGCACACCGUGACGGUACCUAAUCAGAAAGCGACGGCUAACUACGUG
rnacentral:rRNA from 1 species